CAAAAACCACGUGGGUCUGGAGGCAAGGCCCGCCGAGGUCCCACUUCAGUCCAACUCCAAUCCAGUGAGGGUAUACUGGGAGGCCUGGUGGUGCAGGAAUUAAGGGAUUGGGCCCAAGGUGCAUGAAGGCCCACUCAAAAGCCGAAGAAGAAAAUCAACACAUGGAUAAUUCAAACUGAAUUUGAAAAUGAACUUAAACGUGCACCAUGUCACUGAGUCCCUCAGCUCAAGCCACCUCUGACGAACCACCACACCGGAAAUCGCUUCCGAUGGCGGUGGCCACCAGAAAUUCAAAUCAAACACCUCACUGAAACUGUCUCAUCCUCCCCGAUCCGAAUCUUCAAUCAAUUUUAACCUAAACCAUGAAUAGAACACUAGCCGAAUCCAAACACUCACAAACUCUAGGUCUUGAGAUGCGAAUUGAACAAUGACCUGAAGGAAUUAAAUCUCCUCUUGUGAGGGCUUCAAUUCUUCACCCUAAUUACUACAUGACUGCAAAGAAAAAUUGAGAUGAAAUAAGGAGUAAAGCCUAUCUACGAAACGAAGGAGUGUCCCGGAUCUUGUUGAAAUCGAAGGUGACGAUAUUGAACAAGAAAACCAGAGAUUCUUCAGGACUUUGAUAUGUUGCUGCUACUGGAUUGGAAUUUGCAGGUUUGCAUUGCCAACGUGUGUGUGGAUGCAGAUCUAAUAUGCUACUACUGUAGAUGAAUGUGAUUGUUGUAGUUGAAUGUUAUGCAAGCCUUGAUUGCUAAUUGAUUCAAAGUCUUGUGCUAAUAUGGUUUUGUGGGUGAAAAUGAGGUAUUGUUUUCAAGAACUUGGCUUAGCAUGGGAAUGAUGUAUCUUGCUCAUGAAGGAUUGCGACAUUGUUGGGCAUUGUUGAUAUUUUGGAACCCUAAUGUUGGGCAUUGUUGAUAUUUUGGAACCCAAGUAGGAUUGUCAUGAUAGAAAGGGACAUGUGAUAUAUGCCAAAACAUGUAGUAUGCAAGCAAGUAUAACAUUAGGAUUUUUCUUUGUAUGGUCUUGCACACAUGUAAUGACAUGCAAAUAUUCAUGGAUGAAUGUUAUGGAAUGUAUGAUUGAAAAUUGGAAUUCAAGACUUUUAUAACAAGUGUGUUGACUUUGGUCAA